rnacentral:rRNA from 1 species
UACGGGGGGGGCAAGCGUUGUUCGGAAUUACUGGGCGUAAAGAGUGUGUAGGCGGUGCUCUAAGUUUGGUGUGAAAUCUCCCGGCUCAACUGGGAGGGUGCAUCGAAAACUGGAAUGCUAGAGGGUGGGAGAGGUAAGCGGAAUUCCUGGUGUAGCGGUGAAAUGCGUAGAUAUCAGGAGGAACACCUGUGGUGUAGACAGCUUACUGGACCACUUCUGACGCUGAGACACGAAAGCGUGGGUAGCAAACAGG